CCGCGGGAACACCGGCGGCCCGAGUGGUGAUCGUGAUUAUUGGGUCUAAAGGGUCCGUAGCCGGUUGGUCAGUCCUCCGGGAAAUCUGAUAGCUCAACUAUUAGGCUUUCGGGGGAUACUGCCAGACUUGGAACCGGGAGAGGUAAGAGGUACUACAGGGGUAGGAGUGAAAUCUUGUAAUCCCUGUGGGACCACCUGUGGCGAAGGCGUCUUACCAGAACGGGUUCGACGGUGAGGGACGAAAGCUGGGGGCACGAACCGGAUUAGAUACCCGGGUAGUCCCAGCCGUAAACGAUGCUCGCUAGGUGUCAGGCAUGGCGCGACCGUGUCUGGUGCCGCAGGGAAGCCGUGAAGCGAGCCACCUGGGAAGUACGGCCGCAAGGCUGAAACUUAAAGGAAUUGGCGGGGGAGCACAACAACGGGUGGAGCCCUGCGGUUUAAUUGACUCAACGCCGGACAACUCACCGGGGGCGACAGCAAUAUGUAGGCCAAGCUGAAGACUUUGCCUGAAUCGCUGAGAAGAGGUGCAUGG
rnacentral:rRNA from 1 species